rnacentral:rRNA from 1 species
GAUAAACGCUGGCGGCGUGCCUAAUACAUGCAAGUCGAGCGAACGGACGAGAAGCUUGCUUCUCUGAUGUUAGCGGCGGACGGGUGAGUAACACGUGGAUAACCUACCUAUAAGACUGGGAUAACUUCGGGAAACCGGAGCUAAUACCGGAUAAUAUUUUGAACCGCAUGGUUCAAAAGUGAAAGACGGUCUUGCUGUCACUUAUAGAUGGAUCCGCGCUGCAUUAGCUAGUUGGUAAGGUAACGGCUUACCAAGGCAACGAUGCAUAGCCGACCUGAGAGGGUGAUCGGCCACACUGGAACUGAGACACGGUCCAGACUCCUACGGGAGGCAGCAGUAGGGAAUCUUCCGCAAUGGGCGAAAGCCUGACGGAGCAACGCCGCGUGAGUGAUGAAGGUCUUCGGAUCGUAAAACUCUGUUAUUAGGGAAGAACAUAUGUGUAAGUAACUGUGCACAUCUUGACGGUACCUAAUCAGAAAGCCACGGCUAACUACGUGCCAGCAGCCGCGGUAAUACGUAGGUGGCAAGCGUUAUCCGGAAUUAUUGGGCGUAAAGCGCGCGUAGGCGGUUUUUUAAGUCUGAUGUGAAAGCCCACGGCUCAACCGUGGAGGGUCAUUGGAAACUGGAAAACUUGAGUGCAGAAGAGGAAAGUGGAAUUCCAUGUGUAGCGGUGAAAUGCGCAGAGAUAUGGAGGAACACCAGUGGCGAAGGCGACUUUCUGGUCUGUAACUGACGCUGAUGUGCGAAAGCGUGGGGAUCAAACAGGAUUAGAUACCCUGGUAGUCCACGCCGUAAACGAUGAGUGCUAAGUGUUAGGGGGUUUCCGCCCCUUAGUGCUGCAGCUAACGCAUUAAGCACUCCGCCUGGGGAGUACGACCGCAAGGUUGAAACUCAAAGGAAUUGACGGGGGCCCGCACAAGCGGUGGAGCAUGUGGUUUAAUUCGAAGCAACGCGAAGAACCUUACCAAAUCUUGACAUCCUUUGACAACUCUAGAGAUAGAGCCUUCCCCUUCGGGGGACAAAGUGACAGGUGGUGCAUGGUUGUCGUCAGCUCGUGUCGUGAGAUGUUGGGUUAAGUCCCGCAACGAGCGCAACCCUUAAGCUUAGUUGCCAUCAUUAAGUUGGGCACUCUAAGUUGACUGCCGGUGACAAACCGGAGGAAGGUGGGGAUGACGUCAAAUCAUCAUGCCCCUUAUGAUUUGGGCUACACACGUGCUACAAUGGACAAUACAAAGGGCAGCGAAACCGCGAGGUCAGGCAAAUCCCAUAAAGUUGUUCUCAGUUCGGAUUGUAGUCUGCAACUCGACUACAUGAAGCUGGAAUCGCUAGUAAUCGUAGAUCAGCAUGCUACGGUGAAUACGUUCCCGGGUCU